AUUGAACGCUGGCGGCAGGCCUAACACAUGCAAGUCGAGCGAGCGGCGGACGGGUGAGUAAUGUCUGGGAAAAUGCCUGAUGGAGGGGGAUAACUACUGGAAACGGUAGCUAAUACCGCAUACCAUCAUAUUUGCCCAGAUUGGAUUAGCUAGUAGGUGUGGUAACGUCUCACCUAGGCGACGAUCCCUAGCUGGUCUGAGAGGAUGACAAGCGACACGGGAACUGAUACACGGUCCAGACUCUUAAGGGAGGCAGCAGUGGGGAAUAUUGCACAAUGGGAGCAAGCCUGAUGCAGCCAUGCCGCGUGUGUGAAGAAGGCCUUCGGGGUGUAAAGAACUUUCAGCGGGGAGGCGUUACCCGCAGAAGAAGCACCGGCGAACUCCGUGCCAGCAGCCGCGGUAAUAC
rnacentral:rRNA from 1 species